AGCUUCCUGAAUUCGUGCCAAGAUUUCCUCAGACACCCGACCAUCAGGACUAAUGAGACUCCCAAGAUAACUGAAGCG
rfam:Schistosoma rodhaini strain Burundi genome assembly, scaffold: SROB_contig0006715